UGCAGUAACUCAGCUGACAGUAUCACAAACUCUUACCAAUUUCGUAUAGUAAACCUGCAACACAGACACUUUGGUGUGUGUAAUUCUUUGCUUGUCCUACUUUGACAGGUGCCAGAAUUGCAGCCUGUUGUCAGAGACUUCAUCAUGAACAGGACCUUCAAGAUCGUUGGUCCACAACUGGAAAAUUUCAACACAGAGGACUUUUACAUUUGGUUCCAUAUCAAACUGGUAUAUGUCCUUGCAAGUUUCACUCCAGAGAUGCUCCAGCUUACAGUCCAAACAACCAACUGUACAAACUACCACGUAGUGUAAGUUAACUUUUGCCAGCAGUCACUACCUAAUGCAUCCAACUUACAAGUAUCUGUGAGCUAAUGAUUAUACAUGAUUGUUUGGCUACGAUCUGCAGUGUGAGUGGCAUGGCCAUGGUGUACUCUUCCAUACCAGAGGAUACACAACAAGGACUUGCAAAUGUUCUCCUGGGCUACCUAAAAAAUCUUGCCGGUGAAAUCAACACACCAGCUUGCAGGCAGGGAAUCCAGAGUGAUGCAGAAUGGAUUCAAAUAAACUUGGGUCCAUUUAAUCAAUUUGUAGCAUACCAAGAUCUGAAAGUCUUCAACCUCUCCCAGGAGGCCAUUGUAAGCAUCCUCUCACCUCAAGAGAAAGCACAGCUCAUACUGGACCCGAGCAGUGGAGCUUUGGAGAAUGUGACCCUUGUAAAAGGCCUGCUCACAAACUUGACACAGUCUGGCGAUGUGGGGCAGCUCACUCAGUUCUUCCAGGCUUUUGCAGAGGUCAACAAACAGGUAAAUGUUUCACUCAGGCUUUUUAAAAAGCUGCUUAACAAAAUGGUCAGAGAAGCCUCAUUCCAACAUAAAAUUGCUUUGUGGACUUAUCUCAGGAUCAUAUUUGUUUCCGCGGUGGGAUUUGAUUCACAUAUACCUACCCUAGAAACAAUACAUGUCACACAUGCCUGCCCCCCCCUACUUAUUUUCCACGUACCUUACGACUGAUUUCUUCUUUUUUUAAGAAAAAUACUUUUGUUUCCUUUCCAGAUGAAUACGAGCUUCAUCAAAAACACAGCUGUACGAGACACAAUCUUGAACCUGACUUUGACAGCUCUUGCUCCAGAAUUUGAGACAUUUGAGCCUUUGGGCUUUGAGCUGUGGUUCCAGCAGUAUUUGCCCCUGUUAUAGCCAGCUUCCAACCAGACAGCUUGUGGGUGAUCCCCAUAAACAUCAGCUGUGCUUCCUAUACAGCUAUGUAAGAGACAGUUCUCAAGACAGAAGAAAUGUUGGCCAUUUCUGGAUCCCUGUUACCAGUCAAAUUCACAAAUUUGUUUUUUUCUUCUCUUCAGACUUACU
rnacentral:lncRNA from 1 species